UCUUGACUAGUAUAUCGGUUAGUACACGCGCUUGUCAUUAUUCAUUGAGUAUACCACUGCGCGCGAAAGCUGGGUUCGACUCCCAGGUCGAGAG